rnacentral:misc_RNA from 1 species
UUGAUUCGUUUUCUUGGGGGGACUCAGAGGACGACGCGCCCCCCGCGGCGGGCGGGCGGUUUGCAAGAGUUUGGGUGUGUCCUCCGGCGGGCGCCGCGGGGCUCUUGGGGCCCCCCGGGCGGCACCGCCGAGGCAACGGCUGGGUACGGUUCGCAGUGGGUUUUGGGAGUUGGGGCAACUCGGUAAUGAUCCCUCCGCUGGUUCACCAACGGAGA